rnacentral:lncRNA from 1 species
AGCUCUGUGUUGGGGAGAUGAGAGGACGGAAUGAGAGUGUGUUGAUGUGAUAUCGCCGAGGACCAUUUUACCGGACAGCCUGAUAAGUAUCGUGUUGUUAGAAGACACAGCACUCAUGAAAAUUC